GCGGGGAUAGCUCAGCUGGGAGAGCGUCAGGUAAGGAAUCUGAAGGCCGUGCGUUCGAUCCGCACUCACCGCA